rnacentral:rRNA from 1 species
GUAGGGAAUAUUGGACAAUGGGGGCAACCCUGAUCCAGCGACGCCGCGUGAGUGAUGAAGGCCUUCGGGUCGUAAAGCUCUGUUGCAGGGGAAGAACACAAUGACGGUACCCUGCUAGAAAGGAUCGGCUAACUUCGUGCCAGCAGCCGCGGUAAGACGAGGGAUCCUAGCGUUGUUCGGAAUUAUUGGGCGUAAAGCGGGUGCAGGUGGCUUGGUAAGUCAGAUGUGAAAGCCUGGGGCUUAACCCCAGAAGUGCAUUUGAUACUGCUGAGCUUGAGUGCUGGAGAGGCUAUUAGAAUUCCUGGUGUAGUGGUGAAAUACGUAGAUAUCAGGAGGAAUACCGGAGGCGAAGGCGGAUAGCUGGCCAGACACUGACACUGAGAGACGAAAGCGAGGGGAGCAAAAGGGAUUAGAAACCCUAGUAGUCC